rnacentral:rRNA from 1 species
UACGUAGGGGGCAAGCGUUAUCCGGAUUUACUGGGUGUAAAGGGAGCGUAGACGGCUGUGCAAGUCUGAAGUGAAAUGCCGGGGCUCAACCCCGGAACUGCUUUGGAAACUGUACAGCUAGAGUGCAGGAGGGGUGAGCGGAAUUCCUAGUGUAGCGGUGAAAUGCGUAGAUAUUAGGAGGAACACCGGUGGCGAAGGCGGCUCACUGGACUGUAACUGACGUUGAGGCUCGAAAGCGUGGGGAGCAAACA